CCUCUACGUCAGCUGUUGCUAGGCCUUUGUAAACUUUUGAAGCUUUAUCUAACUUGUGAAUUCCACUAAGCUUUUGCAAUAAAGUUUGUUGUUGUUUCUAUUUGGAGUUUGCUCGUCCAUUCGUUGCUGCAAAUCUAUAUCAAAAUUUUCAUUUUCACAUUGUGCUGAGUUUCUCAUUCACUUAAAUUCACUUACGGAUAUUUCUUUAAAGAUUUUUGGCUUCUUUAUGCGAAGAGUCGAAGGCAAUAGCAAAAACUGUGAGUUGUAUUUGGCUUUUGUCAGUUGAUUCAGUUUUAUACUGUUUGAAAUUUGUUCCUCGACCUUGCACUUUUGUUCAAAACAAUUUUAAGAACAUUUUGAACCACGUUUUGAUUGGCUGAUCAAAGCGAUUAACGCGAGCGAACAAUUUUUUUCGACUUUCGGCGUCUUGUUGUCUAUUUUGUAUACUUGUUGGCUUUCCAAAGUCAUUGUUUGUUUUACAAUAGCUAAAAUUGCGAGUCUUACUGCUUGUUUUCAAACUAUAUAAUAGAAGAAAAGAAGAAGAAAAAGCCAGAGUAUAUAUACUUAACAUCUAAACAUGACACUGGUGUGCGUAAAUAUAGCAAAGCCACGGAAUUACAAGUGAGCAAGUGACCUCAGUGUACCUCAAGACCAAGCCAGUUAAAAGUGAGUUUUUCAUGUUUAUUGGAUUUAAAAAGAUAACUCCUCCACAUGAUUGUGCA